rnacentral:lncRNA from 1 species
GAGGAUGGGAAGGAGACUUGUGUGGGGGCCUCGGGCUGGCGGGUCGCGGGUUCCUUAUCCUCCGCCUUGGCGCCUCUCCGCCCACCGCCCACCGCCCCUCCCUGGCAUUGGUUGGCGCCAGGGGAAGCCGAGGCUCCAUCCUUUCUGCGCAGGUUCCCGCCGCACUCGCGCAGACCUAGCGCGUCCAGGUGGGAGGUUAGUGUGGCCCGGGCGUCCGCUCCUCAGCGGAUGUGGCAGCCCCGAGCCAUGGCUCUCGCCGUCCGAGUCGUUUAUUGUGGCGCUUGAGGCUACAAGUCCAAGGUAAGCAGACUCAAGAAGAAGUUAGAAGAUGAGUUCCCCGGCCGCCUGGACAUCGUGAGGAACUCCCCAGGCCACCGGGUUCUUUGAAGUGAUGGUAGCCGGGAAGUUGAUUCACUCUAAGAAGAAAGGCGAUGGCUACGUGGACACAGAAAGCAAGUUUCUGAAGUUGGUGGCCGCCAUCAAAGCCGCCUUGGCUCAGGGCUAAUGCGCCCUGAAGGCAGAGUCCAGGGACCUUGACCCAGCCCCUCUCAGCAGACGCUUCAUGAUAGGAAGGACUGAAAAGUCUUGUGGACACCUGGUCUUUCCCUGAUGUUCUCGUGGCUGCUGUUGGGGGCAGAGAUUGACGCCCCCGGUCUUUGCCUCUGAGCGGGAGAGUCUGUGUGUAUGUGUCUUCCCCGGAAUCCACACCACCCCACCCUCCUCCUGUCCCGUGGUUUCAUCAUAUCUCUUUGCAUACCCCAUGUCUUCCCCAGUUGUCCCCUGGAGUUUGGGGGGACAUCCCGCCUCAGGCAUCCUUCUCAAGGGGAAGCCAAGAGAGGCAUCAGGAUGGGUGGGUUUCUGAUUGUGGCAACGUUUGCAACCGUUCACGAUUCAAUAAAUAUUGGAUGAAUU